rnacentral:sRNA from 1 species
UUCCCCAAUGCGCUGUAGUUGGUGGAGCCUCAGAGCUGCGGAGAAGGGACAAUCUUUACAGCUCUGAGGCCAUCAC